CCUACGGGGGGCUGCAGUGAGGAAUUUUUCACAAUGGACGAAAGUCUGAUGGAGCAAUACCACGUGAACGAUGAAGGUCUUCUGAUUGUAAAGUUCUUUUAUUUAGGAAAAAAAGCGUGCUAGGAAAUGAGCGCGCCUUGAUGGUACUAAUUGAAUAAGUGACAGCUAACUAUGUGCCAGCAGCUGCGGUAAAACAUAGGUCACGAGCAUUAUCCGGAUUUAUUGGGCGUAAAGGAAGCGUAGGCGGGGAGGUUGAUCCAUUGUUAAAAGCAUUUGCUUAACAAAUGUGUGCAUUGGAGAUCGCCUCCCUAGAGUUAAUCAGGGGGUACUGGAAUUCAAUGUGUAGCGGUGGAAUGCGUAGAUAUAUUGAGGAACACCAGAGGCUAAGGCGAGUGCCUAGGAUAUAACUGACGCUGAGGCUUGAAAGCGUGGGGAGCAAAUGGGAUUAGAUACCCUAGUAGUC
rnacentral:rRNA from 1 species